UUAAAAUGAGAGUUUGAUCCUGGCUCAGGACGAACGCUGGCGGCGUGCCUAAUACAUGCAAGUCGAACGAAACUUUCUUACACCGAAUGCUUGCAUUCACCGUAAGAAGUUGAGUGGCGGACGGGUGAGUAACACGUGGGUAACCUGCCUAAAAGAAGGGGAUAACACUUGGAAACAGGUGCUAAUACCGUAUAUCUCUAAGGAUCGCAUGAUCCUUAGAUGAAAGA
rnacentral:rRNA from 1 species